rnacentral:rRNA from 1 species
GGACGAACGCUGGCGGCGUGCCUAAUACAUGCAAGUCGAACGAACGGAGCUAGGAACUUGUUCCCGGCAAAGUUAGUGGCGCACGGGUGAGUAACACGUGGAGAACCUACCCUUUUGCGGGGGAUAACCAUUGGAAACGAUGACUAAUACCGCAUAGAAUCGCAGAUCGCAUGAUCAACGAAGGAAAGACGGCUUCGGCUGUCACAAAAGGAUGGCUCCGCGGUGCAUUAGCUAGAUGGUGGGGUAACGGCCUACCAUGGCAAUGAUGCAUAGCCGACCUGAGAGGGUGAUCGGCCACAUUGGGACUGAGACACGGCCCAAACUCCUACGGGAGGCAGCAGUAGGGAAUCUUCCGCAAUGGGCGCAAGCCUGACGGAGCAACGCCGCGUGUGUGAAGAAGGUCUUCGGAUCGUAAAGCACUGUUGUUAGAGAAGAACGACCGCUAGAGUAACUGUUAGCGGAGUGACGGUAUCUAACCAGAAAGCCACGGCUAACUACGU